UGUCUAUAAAUCAACCUCCUUCACAAAUCUUCGCGAUAACUCUCAACUUCUUCUACCAUUGUCCCUUAACUGGGGUAGAGGGAGACUCACGAGAAUCAAAAGUCAUAUGUUAAAUCGGUUGGAAGAAAACAUUCGGUACAUUUAGAGAAACAUAUGAAUGAUACUCAUAAGUCUUUCCACUAUUCCAUUCGAGAGACAAUCCUAAUGAGAGGGCUCAUGCAAAAGAAAGUCAGUUACGAAGAUCGUCAUUUGAGAAGGUAAAUUAUACUACCGUUUACGAUAAAACGGAUUAUCCAUUUCUUCUCUUUUAGACAUUUUAUGUCAAGAUUGACCUAAAUGCAGGGAAAUGUUAAUUUAACAGAAGCUGAUAAUUUUGUAAUCAAGUUCCUGAGAUAUUUGGAAAAUAAAUAUAGAUGGAGGAAGAAGUUUGAUGUGAGUGAUUAAUGAACCAUUAAAACGAUAUGAUGGACUAAUUUAACUUCCAAACAAGUCAUUAUGGUUAAUCAACAAUAAAUUGAGUGAGGUUAUAAACCAGUUAGUUGAAAAGAAAAACAUGAUACAGAGAAAUAUUAAUAAAAUAAGGGAGCAUGAGAUUGAUAUUUGGUAGGAUUAUGUGGACAUAAGAAAUUGGGUCAGUGUUGUCAGAAUUUUUAAUUGAAAAUGUAAAAAUGUAAUUGUGGUGAAUUUUCCACAUACGUAAUCAGACGGUGUUCACAAACGAGCUGGUUAGAGACGGACUUGUAAAUAACAAUAAUGAAACAUGUAUCCGGUUAUUAUAAUGUAAUGUAUGAAAUAAUAUAAAUUUCAUGGUUAUAGACGUAGAUAAAUGUAGAAAACGUUUGUUCGAAGGGAAUUCUGUGUAAAGCGUUGUUUAGAUAGUACUCAUAAUUAGUAAACAAAGAAGGCUCUGCAUAUAAGAUGCACGUACGUUCAAAAAUUUUGACGGUCCCCUUCAUUUGAUCCUUGUAACAACAAAAAUAAGUAAUUAACCCUACUAACUACUAACGAGACUUGGGCAUAUGAAAGCAUCUUAAGUAUUGUUAUGUGGACUGUGAACUGCAUCCCGGUGAUGUGCCUAAAGCCAGUAAACAAAAAUUAUAUAAUGGGUUAUAGUACAACAGUGCGAAGAUUUUUUUCCUUGUUUGUGUGGACUUAAACAAACGACCACUGUUAUGAGAAUAGAUAAUGAUGUAAUAUUCAUUUAAGAAAAUACGUAUUUAUGUCAUUUCUAUAUAGCAUCAUGAUGCCCCUACAUGUAGGUAGACUGCUAGCAUUAAUUGAACUGAUACUGAGUAGAUACGUUCUAUACAUACAACUGUAAAUAAAGCCGGUUCGAUCCUCCUCCUCUGGCUAUAAAUAUCAGUUCAUCAAGUGCUUGUGACAUCAAAAGUCUCAUAGUUACCGGUUCAUCCAAUUAUCAUACCUAAGCCUCCAUCUUCGUUGCUGAAGGCUGAAACCGAGUUUUCAGAAGAGAUGGGACAACUGCGUGAUAUCGGGGGCCUUACGUGUUGCUAAGUUCCAAUUUAUGUGCAGAACUCCUUUUCAAAUUGGAGACACCAUUUAUCUGGGGGAUGGUGUGACAGAGGAACAACAUCUAGCAAUGAUAAAUGAUGAAGUCGAUGACGACGAGUUAAAGUGCAGCGGAAGAGUGCUGAAGGAAAUUUUCAGUGAAGAAAAGUUGGUUCUUGUUUACCGUUACUCAUUUGAAAUAGAAAAGGCCAAAAGCAUCAUUGAUCUUAACGUCAGACCCCCUGUUGAUGCCCAACGAAACGACGUCUCUGUCGGUGACAUAGGAGAUAUAAAUUACAAUUUGCAUGGAAUUGAAGACCACAUCCAACACCAGCGUCAAGGUUGGCACGAUAAUCCCUUACAUGAUUUACACCCUACUUGUGGUGAGGGACCACCAGAAUCACACAUAUCAUCUUCCAACUUGCCACGUCCUAGGAGUCCAGAGAAUGGAAUAAGCAAAGAUGCAACAUUGUUGAAACCAACAUGGGCACAUAUGGAGGUGGGGUCAGAUUACUGGAAAACCGUCAGUAUGGAAAACUGUGACAACAUAAUUAAUCUCUCAUCUGACCUUCACUUCGAAGACAAUUCAACACCUUUGCGCAACAAUGCCUAUAUCGAAAUUGAGGCUUCUUCCAUAGGAUCAAACAACGGUACUGAAGUUAAUCAAUUCCCGACGUAAAGGGGAGAUCAUGUUCAUGGCAGUAACGAGACAGUACCACCUAGAGAUACAAAUGGAAAUUUGGAAAGAGGAGUGGAAGGCCAUCACCCUGAUGAUAUUUACGUUGAUAUGGUCUUUAAAAGCAGAGAGGAAUUCAAACAACAUAUGGCCAUAUUUGCGAUAAGGAAAAAAAUUCGUUUUCAGACCAACCGGUCAUUCCCUGGAGGGAUGGUCCUACGGUGUUUCAGUAGAACCUGCAAUUGGCGAGUCUAUGCGGUGAACUUGAAAAAUACAGAGUUGUAUGAAGUGCGUACAACUACUCUACUGCAUUCUUGUACUGUCGAUGAGCGUUCGGGAUACCAAUCACAAGCAACGCAUACUGUGAUUGGUGGAAUGAUGAAAGCAAGGUUCACAGGUAGAGGAGGGGGGCCACGCCCAAACGAGAUCAAACAAGCAAUGCAAGGAGAUCAUGACGUUUAUAUAUCUUACUGGAAAGCUUGGAAAUUUAGGGAGGUGGCUUUAGAUUACGCAAAGGGAUCAUGAGGGGCUUCACAACCUGUUGCCAGCUUACUUAGAGAAACUGGUUGUUGCAAAUCCAGGAACAAUUACUGAAAUUCACACUGAAUACACUGAAGGAGUGGGACACAAAUUCAAAUACAUGUUCCUUGCACUAGCUGCCUGCAUCGAAGGAUUCGAAUUUAUGAGGAAAGUGGUUAUCGUUGACGGUACACAUUUGAAGGGAAAGUAUGCAGGAUGUUUGUUGACUGCGUCCGCCCAAGAUGGAAACUAUCAAGUUUUCCCUCGAGCUGUGGCAGUGGUUGAUGGUGAGAAGGAAAAGUCUUGGGAGUAGUUUUUCAUGAAACUAACUCAGUUCAUACCAAACCAGGAAGAUGUUGUAUUUGUGUCCGACCGGCAUCCAUCGAUUUACUAUGGUAUCGCAAAGAAGCUAAACACUAUCAGAUAACCUUUACACGAUGUUAUAGACCGGUUUCGUCAGGUUUUAUCCGGAUACAACUCCGCAAACGUGUGUACACACACUCUUCUACAAAACAAUGUCUAUUCAAGGAGUGGGCAUUGUGCAUGCAUUCUACAUCUGAAAAGAAACAUAAGAACGUCUUUCAAGGACAAGCACUUGGGUUACCUCGUCGGGAAAGCAGCCCGGGCAUAUAGACUCUCGGAAUUCUACACAACAUUUGCAGAAAUAAAACGGGUUAAUGCUUCAUGUGCAGAUUAUCUGGUAGGAAUCGAGUUCGAGCAUUGGGCGCGGUCUCAUUUCAAAGGAAAACGUUUCAACAUUAUGACAAGUAAUGUAGCGGAAACAUGGAAUGUCGUGUUACGUGAAGCCAGGGAGUAUCCUAUACUCUCACUAAUAGAAUUCAUAAUGAACUGGUUUAGUGUAAGAAGGGAUCUGCCAAACCUUGGAGAUAAUAGUCUCACACCACGCGUACAUGAAAUUGUAACUGGAAACUUUGAGAGUAGUGGGACGUUUGGAGUGAGCGUCAUUGGAGACCGCGAGUAGGAAGUGAAAGACAAAACAGGGAAGCAUAACAUGUAAACCUAACAGCGAAAACUUGUUCUUGCUACGAAUUUCAAACACUCCAAAUUCCAUGAAGCCACGCGUUUGCAGCUGCAAUAAGGAACCGAAUACAAGUGGAUUCGUUAGUUGGCGACUGGUAUACGGUAAGAACAUAUAGGACGGCGUACGCUGCAAUCAUAACCCCAGUGGUAGAACACGAAAGCAUAGAAAUCCUUUCCAGCGACGUCUCAGGUAGCCAAAUUGCAGUGAAUCCGCCUGCAAGCAGAAGGCCACCGGGUAGGCCAUGUAAAACUGGCUUUUAUCAAGGGGAGGGGGAAUACCAGAUGAGAGGAGCAAGGAAACGAACAAUGUGUGGUAGAUGCAAGUGUUACGGUCAUAACCGAUCAACAUGCAAAAUGCCUAUCUAGAACCUUGUUAUGCUUAUGUUAUGGAAAGAGAAAGCCUUGGAUGAUGAAAGUGUAUGCAAGUUUGGGAGGUUUAUUACAAUAAGGCUGUAAAAUAUGUGAUGGGAAGUGGCCGGAGUAAUUUUAUACCCAAAAUUGUAAAUAAAAAUAAUAUCUCUUCUAACAAUAGUUUGAACAUUAUAACAACGAAAAAUGUAGCGAUAAA